rnacentral:rRNA from 1 species
UACGGGGGGGGGCAAGCGUUGUUCGGAAUUACUGGGCGUAAAGGGUUCGUAGGUGGCCAACUAAGUCAGACGUGAAAUCCCUCAGCUUAACUGGGGAACUGCGUCUGAUACUGGUUGGCUUGAGUGCAGGAGAGGAACGCGGAAUUCCAGGUGUAGCGGUGAAAUGCGUAGAUAUCUGGAGGAACACCGGUGGCGAAGGCGGCGUUCUGGACUGCAACUGACACUGAGGAACGAAAGCCAGGGUAGCAAACGGG